UGAGGAGGGUAUUUAAGGGCAGUUGGGGGGACGAAGUUUCCAUACUGUUGUUGAGACGACACUGCAGUUCUUUCUGAAGGCACCAUGAAGCUCAGCAUCGCCAUCACCCUCUGCGCUCUACUCUACUUCUUUGGUCCUGCUUUCGGCCAGAAUUCGAAUAGCGGAGGUUUCCAAAACAGCGGAAGCAUGAAUAUGGGUCGACUGAGGCGUUCCAAUACGAAUAGCGGAAGUUUCUUUGUGGGUGGUCGACUGAGGCGUGACAAUACGAACAGCGGAGGUUUCCAAAACAGCGGAAGCAUGAAUAUGGGUCGACUGAGGCGUGACAAUUCGAAUAGCGGAAGUUUUGGAAACAGCGGAAGUAUGAAUAUGGGUCGACUGAGGCGUGACAAUUCGAAUAGCGGAGGUUUCGCUAACAGCGGAAGCAUGAAUAUGGGUUGACUGAGGCGUACCUCUGAACCAACUGGAAAUGCAAUCGACCCAAAAGAUUGCUGAUGACGGGGAGCAGAGCUGCAGAGCUACGGUCCACCGUUGGUCCACCGUUGGUCAGGAAGACUCCAGAGUCACUUUGACACAAUAAAGAAUUUCAGCAUCA